CCGCUAAGCCUAAAUAUUCCCUGGUGACCGAUAGCGGAUAGUACCGUGAGGGAAUGGUGAAAAGUACCGCGGGAGCGGAGUGAAAUAGUACCUGAAACCGUGUGCCUACAAGCCGUGGGAGCGUCGGAUGCAGCUUGCUGUAUCUCGUGACUGCGUGCCUUUUGAAGAAUGAGCCUGCGAGUUAGCGGUGUGUAGCGAGGUUAACCCGUGUGGGGAAGCCGUAGCGAAAGCGAGUCCGAAUAGGGCGAUUGAGUUGCACGCUCUAGACCC
rnacentral:rRNA from 1 species